GUGCCAGCAGCCGCGGUAAUACGUAGGGGGCGAGCGUUGUCCGGAUUCAUUGGGCGUAAAGCGCGUGUAGGCGGUUUGGUAGGUCUCGUGUCAAAUCCUGCGGCUCAACCGCAGUCCGCACGGGAAACCACCUUACUAGAGUCCGGAAGAGGAGAGCGGAAUUCCAGGUGUAGCGGUGAAAUGCGCAGAUAUCUGGAAGAACACCAGUGGCGAAGGCGGCUCUCUGGGACGGUACUGACGCUGAGACGCGAAAGCGUGGGGAGCGAACAGGAUUAGAAACCCCAGUAGUCC
rnacentral:rRNA from 1 species